GGACCUUGGACGCUGGACAGGCGGUCYGCCCUCACGGCGAGUACUGUCUUGCUGGGUCUUUCCUCUUGGUGAUCUGUUGUUUCGGCYASCCASKGGAACCAGGACUUUUACUUUGAAAAAAUUAGAGUGUUCAAAGCAGGCUCGACGCCGGAAUAUAUUAGCAUGGAAUAAUAAAAUASGACGUGCGGUUCUAUUUUGUUGGUUUUUGGAAUCGCCGUAAUGAUUAAUAGGGACAGUCGGGGGCAUUAGUACUCACAUGCUAGAGGUGAAAUUCUUGGAUUUUGUGAAGACUAACUUCUGCGAAAGCAUUUGCCAAGGAUGUUUUCAUUAAUCAAGAACGAAGGUUAGGGUAUCGAAAACGAUUAGAUACCGUUGUAGUC
rnacentral:rRNA from 1 species